rnacentral:lncRNA from 1 species
AACUAAAAAGUUGAACAUACAUUUACACAAUACCAAUAAUUCUGCUAUGAAUAUUUAUUGAAGAGGCUUGAACACGCGCACAUUCUCAAACACUGGCUCAUGCGUCAUCCUCAUCCCAGACCUAGUGACCUUGGCUCACAGGCGGAAAUGACCCCUCAACAGACAGAUGCAUCGGGAUAAUGGCAUAAUCAGGGGUGAACUACCCAAGCACACCACAUGGAUGAACCCUAAAAUGUGUGCUAAGUGAAGCAAGCUAGGCAUAGCAGGCUCUGUCUCACACAGUUUCAUUUGCAUGAAAUGUCCAGAAUAGGAAAAUAUUUUAAAACAGAAAGUAGAUUAGUAAUUGGGAGAUAGAGAGAUAAUGGUGUAAGAAACAGAAGGGAUUUUUCUGGGGCUGUGAAAAUAGAGUACAUAUUUGCAAAUUUAUUUUUAAAGAUUGGUUGUAUACUUAGCAUGGAUAAAUUUCCUGACGUUGUUAAAGGUGCUACUGUGAGCCAAGCAGUCUUUAUUGCUUUGGGGCUUGCAUUAAGUGAAUGACUAAAUAAUAAAGAUGUAGAUGCUAAAAGGAGGCUCUGUCUCCUGGGGGAGUUGGAUAUCAAGAGAUCUAGUUGGAAGUGGGUUGGCUCCACUCAGCAGAGGAAGCCUGAGUGAAUCACUCUGCUCUCAUGGGCCCCAGGAAGGAAGUGGAUUGUCCCCCAAGUGGGAGGAAGGCCAGGUAACUGGGGGCAGUGGCUCCACCCCAGCAGGUGCCCCAACCUUUUACCAAGAGUCUCUGGUGCCCUCACUGCCCAGGGGCCAUGUCUAUUACUUCUGGCUUUCAUGGUGAAUGCAAACAUGAACUUAAAGAAGGAGGACAUGACUACUCUAAAGGAGGAAGAAGAUUUUUACUGUAGAUAAAAGGGAGAAAGCAGACAGAGGGAAGAGAGAGUCCAGGCUGACGGUGGCCAGCGGACUAAACUGGACAGUGAGAGGAGAGAGCGGGAGGGGAGCAAGAGAAGAGCCCCUGUCAAAGAGGAUCCAGUCAAGAGGCCAAAAGACUGGUGUAGCCAGGUGGCUGAGCUAUAUAGGGAUCAGGCUAGGGGAAGGGAAGCCCAGGCCCUGGGAGGUUAGGGUAGGGGCAGGCCGAGAAGUGCUAGAGGAGUCACAGGUACAGAGGGAUGCUGGGAGAGCUGGCCAGCAUCUGCCUUGAUAUGUUAAAUAGUCACCCCAGCCAUUACUACAGUCCUGCUCUCUACAGAAUACCAAAUAAGCAACACAGAACUGCUGAGCACCUACUACAUGCUGAUUGCAGAAUGCCUACUAUGUGUUGCUCUGUUUCCUAAGUGCUGUGGAUCUACUGCUCAAAAACCCUACAUUCAAAUGAAUUUAAAGCCUCAAAGAGGUCGUUUUUUUUUUCCUUCUUUCUUUCUUUCUUUCUUUCUUUCUUUCUUUCUUUCUUUCUUUCUUUCUUUCUUUCUUUCUUGUGUUGUUUUGUUUUGUUUUGUUUUGUUUUUGUUUUUGAGACAGGGUCUCACUAUGUAGUCCUGGCUGUCCUAGAACUCACCAAGUAGACCAGGAUGGCUUUGACCUCACAGAGGUCCACUUGCCCAAAGGAAUAAUUUGUAUGAACCAGUUCAGGUGCUCUGGCUACUCUUCUGUUAAUCAUCAUUAAAGGCUUUAUUCUCAUGAGAAGAACAAACUUGAUUCUGAUACCUGGCCUCCCCGGAGAUGCCCAAGUGUCUGUCUCCUUCAUGGCCACUCUCCUCUGGCCUCCCUUUCAUGGGCUGGGGUGUGCUUCUCCUCCUUCUCCAAAUGAUGACCAAUAUAGCUGACACCACUAGUUUUUCUACAUGUCCAUUAAGCCUUAGGGGUCCUACUUGGAAGAACCACAUUCCAGCUCAUCUAUGCUAUAGGACAUCAAGAAAGCUUCCUACCAUCUCCAAAACGAAGGUGGUCAGCACCAUAGCUAAUUCACACUGUAUUUGGGGGAAGGCAUCCCUUGUCUGGGAGUACUGCUUUGCACCCCAGAGCAGUUAGCUGAAGGAGUGUGUGGUGUCAGCUCAAAUCUGAAAAGAUGCUCCCUGGACAAGCAAACAUGCUACAGAAUGGCAUGGGUGUUGGCUCCCCCUGCUGGGCACUGAGUCUGGCUCACAACCUGCCCAUUUGGGCACCUGGCUGAAAUCAACAGUUUUAGUGAGAUGGGGGGACUGUGUCCUGUGCCAACAGUCUCAGGUUGUCUGGAUGCUGAGGCAGAAGAAUCACUUGGGCUCAGGAGUUCAAGACCACACCUAAACUCUUGUCUGCUAGAACAAAUGUGUAUGGUGCACAUGUGUGUGUGGGUGCUACACAGAAGGGUUGUUUGACGAUGAAAUGAGACACCCUGAAGGAUGAGACUCUGAGUGGUACCGGCAACUACCUACUCCUCUCCGCAGUUGCCUCUGAUGGAGCUCAGGCCGGCAAAGCCCUUUCUUUCCCUGUUUCAAGCCAGUUCCUCCUACCACCCCCGCCCCCUCCUCCCACCUCCACCC